AAUGAACGUUGGUGGCGUGGAUUAGGCAUGCAAGUCGUGCGAGAAGGCCCCGCAAGGGGCCGGACAGCGGCGAACGGGGUAGUAAGGCGUCGGUACGUGCCCAGGGGUCCGGGAUAGCGGCGGGAAACUGCCGGUAAUACCGGAUGACCUCUUCGGAGCAAAGGUGGGAUUCCGCCCGUGGAGCGGCCGACGUGGUACCAGGUAGUUGGCGGGGUAACGGCCCACCAAGCCUGAGACGCCUAGGGGGUGUGAGAGCAUGGCCCCCACCACUGGGACUGAGACACUGCCCAGACACCUACGGGUGGCUGCAGUCGAGAAUCUUCGGCAAUGGGCGCAAGCCUGACCGAGCGAUGCCACGUGCGGGAUGACGGCCCUCGGGUUGUAAACCGCUGUCGGGGGGGAUGAAGUCGCGGGAGGCAAUCCUCUCGCGUUGACAGAGCCCCGGAGGAAGCGCGGGCUAAGUACGUGCCAGCAGCCGCGGUAAUAC
rnacentral:rRNA from 1 species